UUCCAUCAAUGCAGCUGAAUUUGAUAUUUAUAGUCUGCUGUAAACAUGACACGUAAGAAAAAAUCUGAUAUAACCUGUAGGUGCAAAUAUAUACUUAAACUUUAGCUCAAUCACAGCGUAAAGGUAAAGUUUUUUGUUCUGUAUGUGCCACAUUUUGCCUCCAUUUCUUUUUUUGUUACUAAAUUGCUUACAGUACAAUAAACAGAAAAUGAUCCCUAGAGGUCUGUUUGUACACAGUUGCAAGUUGAUAAAAUGUAGGCUGUGAUAUCCAAUUUAUUCUCCAAUUCAAUUAAGUUUGAGAUAUGUGUUGCAUAUCUCUCUAAGUGUACAGUUUAGUGAAUAUUCUGUUUUGCGUUUUUUUGUUUGUCUAUUUUCUGUUAGCUUGAGUACCAGGGUGUAACAGUAGGUGCAGAUCCUUUAUUGCUAGGAUGGUCAAAACGCUCACAUGUUAAUUCACUAAAAUAAGAAUUGUCAGAAAUUCUAAAUAAAUUUCAAAUUUAAUUCCAAAUUAGCCGAACUGGAAAAAUUCAGCAAUUAUUUAAC